GAGCCAGAGGAGCAGAGUACAAGCACCUCAUGACUGCCUGCAGGUGUCAUUGCCCACCGUUCCUGGACAGCCAACAGCCUUGUGACAUUUCAGACUCCCGCUCACUCCCCUGCCCACCCACAGAGAGACGGAUCUCGUCCUCUCCACCUCUCCUCUUUACACAUCUCUGUGUCUGUGCUGUCAUCAGGGGAAGGUGGCUGGCAGGAGGGGAAUUUCUCUAUGGAUUUCCAGUGGUUCCUUGUGGCCAUGCUGCUCCCUGUGGGCUGGGCCCUUCAGCAAUCACCAGAUACAAUCGUCCGGUUGGGAGACACCGUGACUCUGGAAUGCUCUGCAUCAGGGAAAGAUUUCGUAAACAUGUACUGGUACAAGCUACCCGUGGAGAAGGAUGCCAGUAUGCAGUUGGUUGUAUAUUCCGUGGAAGGUGGCAAAGCAGAUAUUGAGAAGGAAUUCAAAAAUCGCUUCCAGAGCAGUGGGACUAGGAACAACCAUUUAUCUGUGAAGAUACAGCCUGCCCUCCUCAAUGACACAGGCACAUAUUUCUGUGCUGAAAGUAAUCCACAGUGACUCAAAGGCAGGUGCAGCAUAGCACAAAG